rnacentral:lncRNA from 1 species
ACGUAACUAAACAACCAGAAAAAAGAAAAUGCAAUGCACCUAUUUCAUUUUCGGUGAUUUCGGUUCAGUGUGACAAAUAUGCAUCCAACCAAAAAGUCUAAAAUAUCUUACAUUUCUACAAUUCCCAGGUGCUAACAAGCUUAAUGUUCAGACAACAUAAAACUAAAUCCAACUAAUACUUGAGACAUAACAAAAGCCAAGACUCCCUCAAAGUAGCACACCUUCUUUAAACCAAAAAUAAUGAGAUAUUAACAUCAGUUUUAACAAGACACCUAGCAUAUUCAAAACGAUUUUUAGCAUGAUAUAGUUUUUACAGAUCAACAAAAUUAAAAGAAGUAAUCUCAAAAUUAUCAGUAUCAAAUUCAAAUGGUUAUCACUGAUUGCUUACUUUAGAGAGAAAACAUGAUCCGGAAUGCUAUCGAAACCUCGUGUAACUGUCGUAAAUCAAACACAACAACAACGGAUUGACCAAACCGACAUAUCCCGCCAGCCAUGUUACCCUUGUACACGAAGCUUCACAAACGGUUCGGAUGAACUCCAAACGGUGCUCCUUCAACCCUCCUUACAAGAUAAUAUCAAACCAAAAGCAGAUGGAAUAUGCUGCUUCUGACUUAUAUAUAUAAAAAAUAGGAAGAAUCAAGGCUUCGUUGCAUUGCUAUGG